AGUCAGGAACACAAUGAGUGAUGAUGUCACAGUGACUGUGGUUGACCAUGUUGCCGACUUUGGGAUGAGCAUGAUGGAGGCUGGGCAACGAGUUCAACCAAAUCUGAGCCGCUAUACUGUUGCAGGUAUAAUCCAGAUGUUUCAAAAUGAGAACCGAACUGCAAGAAAACCAGUAUCUGAUGGAAGAGGUCAACUGUUCACCCCAGAGCAUGAGACCCACAUUUUAAAUAUGAGAGUCAUGGAGCUAGAAGCAGAUGCAAUGCACCAUGACCUAAUAAAUGUGGACGAGGCAGGUUUCAACCCUGCAAAAUCAAGGGGCCGCGGCAGAAAUAUCAUGACCCCUGAUCGAUGGACACCGUGCCAUCAUCAACGUCCCGGGACAACGUGGUGGCAACAUAACAAUGUGACGUCUGGAUUUCGCUACCGGGGAUGCCUCAGCCGUCUCAUUGGGCUUCCAUGCCUCAGCCGGCUCGUUGAGCUUCCAUGCCUCAGCUGGCUUGUCAAGUAUCUGUGGCCAAGGCUACCGAGGAUGCCUCAGCUAGCUCGUCAGGCUCCCAUGCCUCAGCUAGCUUGACAGGUUCACAAGACUCGGUUGGAUUGUCAGGCUUCCAUGCCUCAACCGGCUCGUCAGGCUCCCGCACCUCAGCCUGGUCUCCGGGACCGUCCCUCUGAUCGGUGUCCUGUGGCUGGUGCAGUGCUUCAGGGAGGGUGUAUUGUCUUUGGCACUCAAGGUCACCAGUCUGCUUAUUAUUACGCACACCUGUCACCAUCGUUACGCGCACCACCGCCUCAUGAAACUCACCUGGACUCCAUCACCUUCCUGAUUACCUUCCCUAUAACUGUCACUCCCUUUGGUUCCUUCCCUAUAACUGUCACUCCCUUUGGUUCCUUCCCUAUAACUGUCACUCCCUUUGGUUCCUUCC
ensembl:lncRNA